rfam:Pelodiscus sinensis unplaced genomic scaffold scaffold3312, whole genome shotgun sequence.
GGCUCUGUGGUGCAAUGGAAAGCAUGUUGGACUUCUAAGCUGCAUUGGUUAAUGUGAGCCCAGCUAGAUGCUCAAAGGUUGAGGGUUCAAGUCUUAUCAGAGUCA